UGGCACACAGCUGAUUGUUGUUUCCAUCUAGCUCCCUGUUUAGGUAGGCCCCAUAGUACUAGUCUGGUUGUCAUCUCAGACUUGUUCCUUGCCUGGACUGCCUAAGUGGGCCAUGUGAGGGUCAUAUAUCUCAGGCUCACUUCUGAAAGACCCAGGCAGAGUUCUAGUUUCAGGCUUGCUCCUGGUCCUGGGAGCCCUUAAACCUGCACAGCUGGACUGGUGGUCAUUUCAGGAUACCUCCCUGAGUCAGUUCCCUGACACCAAACUGGUGAUCAUCUCAGUUUGCUUACAGACACUUGCUUUGCGGCCUCUGAUGGAAUGACACCUCCUACCACUGCAUCCUGGAACUUCAGUGUGCUUAUCACAACCAGCACAGGUGACAUGAUGGAGUUGGCUAGUCUCUGGAGAAGAUCUCAAUAAAGGAACUUGCAGGUACCACUACACACAUGAGGAAGCCAGAGCCAGUGGACAACUUUCUCUCCUUCCAUCAUGAGGACCUCGGAUGAAACUGAGUUUGUCACGAUUGGCUGAAAGUACUCCUACCUGCCGAGCGUUGCUCUGGCACAACAGGUCUCAAUAUCUGACUGUUCGUAUCCUUCUCCAGUGCCGUAUUCUGCGUACAUUAAAGAAACUGGUGUAAACAAA